rnacentral:ncRNA from 1 species
CAGCCGACUGUAAAUUAUUGCAGCUUUCCGCUGAAAGGCGGAUUGAAAAAUGAGGUGAAUUGCUGGAAAUCCUUUUGCGUGUUCACGUAAGAAGGACAAUCAGCAGCCGAGCCCGCCGAAUUUUACUUUAGAAUUUAGGCGAGAAGGUUCAGAGACUAUUCCGAAAGGAAGUAGCCGGUCACGAACGUGAUGCAGGCGAAGCCCCUCGCUCCUAAUCCCAAACAGGAACAAUGGAAUGGAGAUGAUAUAGUCCACGCCACUAGUAAUAGUUGG